GACUUUUUGCAGCGGCGAUAUAGUAACCAAUGAGGUUUAUUCGAGGUGCGAUUAUUGCUAGUUAAAAACGCAUACUAAAGGCACAAAAUAUCUAACCAGACCAAUGAGGUUUAUUCGAGGUGCGAUUAUUGCUAGUUGAAAACGCAU
rnacentral:snRNA from 1 species